UACGAAGGGGGCUAGCGUUGUUCGGAAUUACUGGGCGUAAAGCGCGUGUAGGCGGGUCUUUUAAGUCAGGGGUGAAAUGCCAAGGCUCAACCUUGGAACUGCCUUUGAUACUGGAGAUCUUGAGUCCGGGAGAGGUGAGUGGAAUUGCGAGUGUAGAGGUGAAAUUCGUAGAUAUUCGCAAGAACACCAGUCGGCGAAGGCGGCUCACUGGCCCGGAACUGACGCUGAGACGCGAAAAGCGUGGGGAGCAAACAGGG
rnacentral:rRNA from 1 species